rnacentral:rRNA from 1 species
CUACGGGUGGCAGCAGUGAGGAAUAUUGCACAAUGGAGGAAACUCUGAUGCAGCAACGCCGCGUGGAGGAUGACGCAUUUCGGUGUGUAAACUCCUUUUAUAUGUCAAGAAAAUGACGGUAGCAUAUGAGUAAGCACCGGCUAACUCCGUGCCAGCAGCCGCGGUAAUACGGAGGGUGCAAGCGUUACUCGGAAUCACUGGGCGUAAAGGACGCGUAGGCGGGAUAUCAAGUCAGGUGUGAAAUCCUACAGCUUAACUGUAGAACUGCACUUGAAACUGGUAACCUAGAGUAUGGGAGGGGGAGAUGGAAUUAGUGGUGUAGGGGUAAAAUCCGUAGAUAUCACUAGGAAUACCUAAAGCGAAGGCGAUCUCCUGGAACAUAACUGACGCUAAGGCGUGAAAGCGUGGGGAGCAAACAGGAUUAGAUACCCCAGUAGUC